rnacentral:lncRNA from 1 species
AAAAAAAGGCCAGACACGGUGGCUCACGCUUGUAAACCCAGCACUUUGGGAGGCUAAGGCGGGCAGAUCACGAGGUCAGGAGAUCGAGGCCAUCCUGGCUAACACGGUGAAACCCUGUCUCUACUAAAAAUACAAAAAAUGAGCCGGGCGUGGUGGCGGGCUCCUGUAGUCCCAGCUACUCAGGAGGCUGAGGCAGGAGAAUGGUGUGAACCCGGGAGGUGGAGCUUGCAGUGAGUAGAGAUCGCACCACUGCACUCCAGCCUGGGCAACAGAGCGAGACUCCGUCUCAAGAGAAAAUAAAUAAAUAAAUAAGAAAAACGACUAGUAUAUAAUGUUAGGUGAUGCUUUAUUUAUUACCUUCAAUAAAAAUGAGAAUUCCUCUCAUUUAAUUUCUUGACAAUAGAAUUAAUUUCAUAUAGAGUCUUUCAAAUGUGAAACAUUGGUAAGUUGUGUUAUUUACUACUGUGAUAGUUAAUGAAGCUUUUUUUUUCUUUUUUUUUUUUUUUGAGAGAGAGGGUCUCACUCUGUCACCCAGGCUGGAGUGUGGUGGCAUGAUCAUAGCUCACUGCA